rnacentral:rRNA from 1 species
UACGAAGGGGGCUAGCGUUGCUCGGAAUCACUGGGCGUAAAGGGUGCGUAGGCGGGUCUUUAAGUCGGGGGGUGAAAGCCCGAGGCUCAACCUCGGAACUGCCUUCGAUACUGCGGGUCUCGAGUCCGGGAGAGGUGAGUGGAAUUCCUAGUGUAGAGGUGAAAUUCGUAGAUAUUAGGAAGAACACCAGUGGCGAAGGCGGCUCACUGGCUCGGUUCUGACGCUGAGGCGCGAAAGCGUGGGGAGCAAACAGGG